GCUCAGUACCACGUGACACUACCUAUGGUGGGGGAUAACCCCGGGAAACUGGGGAUAUACCCCAUAGACUAUGGAAGCUGGAAUGCUCUGUAGCCGAAAGGUCAGCCGCCGUAGGAUGGGUCUGCGGCCGAUUAGGUAGUUGUUGGGGUAACGGCCCAACAAGCCUGUAAUCGGUACGGGUUGUGGGAGCAAGAGCCCGGAGAUGGAUUCUGAGACACGAAUCCAGGCCCUACGGGGCGCAGCAGGCGCGAAAACUUUACAAUGCGGGAAACCGUGAUAAGGGAACUCCGAGUGCCCGUUAAAUCGGGCUGUCCACCAGUUUAAAUAACUGGUGAAGAAAGGGCCGGGCAAGACCGGUGCCAGCCGCCGCGGUAAUACCGGCGGCUCGAGUGGUGGCCACUAUUACUGGGCUUAAAGCGUUCGUAGCUGGUUUGUUAAGUCUCUGGGGAAAUCUUCCGGCUUAACCGGAAGGCGUCUCAGGGAUACUGGCAGACUAGGGACCGGAAGAGGUGAGGGGUACUCCAGGGGUAGGAGUGAAAUCCUGUAAUCCUUGGGGGACCACCUGUGGCGAAGGCGCCUCACCAGGACGGCUCCGACAGUGAGGGACGAAAGCUGGGGGAGCAAACCGGAUUAGAUACCCGGGUAGUCCCAGCCGUAAACGAUGUGCGUUAGGUGUAUCGGUGACCACGAGUCACCGAGGUGCCGAAGAGAAAU
rnacentral:rRNA from 1 species